AAAGUUCUUGUCAGAAGUUUAGAAAGUGGCGUGCUCUUUUAAAACAACGAAGUAAAUUAACCAAUAGGUUAUGUCAAUUUGUCAGCUUUUAUUUACAAAGAAGAUAAUAAGUUAUAAUACUAUUAUGAACACUAACGAUAGAUAGAAACACAAAUUAUUAAAACACGAAAACUAUACACAGAAAACUUACAAAUAUUGGAUAACACUGGUCUAGCUACUAUAACAAUUAGCAUCACACAAAAUUCACUCUGGUGCUGUUGGCAAGACAAUAAUGGGUUUUGUAAUAAAUGUGGUUCCAAUAUUUUGAUGAGUUGACCGCAUGUUCUGUUGAAAGUUAAAUGUGGUAACACCUCUUGUGUUAUUUCAGCAAUUCUUUUGACGAGUCCUACAAAAGGUUCGUUGGGAUACAGUAAACCUCCACGAUCUUGGAGUGUGAUUAAUUUCAUUAGAGGUCCAGCUUUAAAAUAAUGUAUCCCGACAGGAAAGCGACAGAGGCAGAGAAUAGAUUUGGCUCUGGUAUUUCAUUCUUUUUUAAAUUGUGUAUUUUAGUUCGUAGUGUCGCUGGUAAAAGUAUUUCUUCAAAGUCUUCAUCAAUAUUUUGUGGUCUCACACGAGAAAGUUGGUUACGGCUUAUAUUACUUAUAGUUCUUGCUGUGUUGGCAGAAGUCGAUGAUUUUAAAAUACCAGAGCGCAAAAUUUGCCGUAAACCAUACUCGGCAGCACGAGCAUCGGUAGUAUCAUUUGAACCACCUUUCAAGCGUAUGUGAGAAAAAGUUGCUUCAACAGCAUCGGAACUGAAACAACGAGUGCGUGAGCAGUUUCGUUGCUCAGACCUUGGUACCCUGUGCAUGCAGAGAUCGACUGGAUAUCAUCAACAUAAUUUUGGAAGUCCUUAUUUAGCCACUGCAGGCGUUCAUCACAAAUAUCAAUAUAUGGUGCAAUACUGCUGUUUAAUGCAUGUAUGUAGUGCCUUCUGCUUGAGACAUUGUGGACUUGGAAAAAGAGGAACAUGUUUUCCAUAGCUUCAGUGCUGCGGUAACGGUUGGUGAAAAUACCUGUAUGGCCCGCAAAACAUUCAUCUUCUCGAAAUUAGAUGGGUAUAGAUGUUUUUUAGUUAGAUAUCUAACAGGCUUUACAGGCAUCCCCUUUUGCAAGUCGUAUAAAGCUUUCAAAAAUGAUGACGAAAUAACACCAGCUGACGAGUUCAUGUCAUGGUCUAAGAAGAGGUUUCUAGCAUUUUUGAUUGCGUGGCAAAAGUCGAAUGAUAAGAAGAGGGGCAUCGGUAGAAAUGGGUUGUUAAUGCAGUUUUGCAAUAUUCCUCCACUUAAAUUUUUAAAUAGACCAACAUUGCCGGGAUGAUUAUCUGUAACAAUCCUCAACACCAUGAAGCCACAAUCUGUUAAUAGUUUCAUCACUUGCAUGGUUAAAGAGUGAAAUUCUUUGGCUUGCAUAGAUGAGUGGAAAAAAUACCCACAUGGUUUUUUUCCAAUAGAAGAGUCAGAACUGCAAGUAUUAAGGCCAUAAAUAUGAUCUUCAACUCUGUGAUAAUACAUUUUCUCUUUAAUUGACAUAUCGUCAAUAAUUAGUGAACACAAUCGUUGUGCAGGAUGCUCUAAAUGUGCAAUUUCUACAGACAAACGUUCUUUGAUAAGGUCAUUUUGUCCAUUGAAGUGACCAAGAUGCCUGUCUAUGGUUGCCCGAGAUGGUAAUUUGACCAAAUGUGUUUGGCAAUAAUCGUAUCCUUUAGGUGAACAGUAUCUCCACACGGUACAUGAUCGAACAGACAUUUCAGACCAUCUUGGCGAUUUCUUCUUAUAAUUAUGAAUUAGGUCUAGUAGAAAAAUGGCCUUUUCAUCAGAACUGUCAGCAUCGCUGUUAAUUUGCUCCAUUUUGCAGAGCAGCGUGCAUGAGAACGUUUUUCUUUUUUUAAUUCUAACGCUAAGGCUUUACAUUUCUCAUGCAAAGCUGUCAUUUCACUGGAGGAAUUAUUCAUUUCGUUUGUGGGAGACAAAUUGGGAUCGUUGAAGUGAAUUGAAUCGGGAAUGGAAGCGCAAGAAGGACCAGGUACAACAGGAUCAGUAUCCUUCAACAAAAAUUAUAUUUAAAACGAAUUAAAAUUAUUAAAAUGUUUUUUAUUAUUGUCUAAACUACUGUAAAUUUAAAAAAUAAUUACAAUAUUUAAAAAUAAAUUUUUUUACCGCACUAUACUUACA